rnacentral:miRNA from 1 species
CAAUUUGUCAACAGCUUUGGAACAACUUGUUGACAACUUGUAACAACCUUGUCAAAAUUAUCAGACUUGUUGCAAGGUUGUUCUGACAAGUCCGUUACACACUUGAUAUAACAAGAUUGUUUCAACCUUGUGUUGACGAACUUGUAACAUCCUUGUUAUACCGUGGCUGUAACAAACUUGUUAGCACAGUGUUGUAACAAGGCUGAUGAUGCCAUCAAGCUUGUUACAAGUUGUUAACAGUUGUUGCAAACUUGUUACAACAAACUG